UACAGAGGGUGCAAACGUUGUUCGGAAUUACUGGGCGUAAAGCGUGUGUAGGCGGCCUCGUAGGUCGGAUGUGAAAGCUCUCGGCUCAACCGGGAAAGUGCAUUCGAAACCACAAGGCUUGAGUGUCGGAGAGGAAGGCGGAAUUGUCGGUGUAGAGGUGAAAUUCGUAGAUAUCGACAGGAACACCUGCGGCGAAAGCGGCCUUCUGGA
rnacentral:rRNA from 1 species